rnacentral:rRNA from 1 species
AGAGUUUGAUCCUGGCUCAGAACAAACGCUGGCGGCGUGUCUUAAGCAUGCAAGUCGAGCGGCAAGGGCAGCAAUGCCCCUAGAGCGGCGGACUGGUGAGUAACGCGUGGGUGAUCUACCUUUGGCAUGGGGAUAGCCAUUAGAAAUAGUGGGUAAUACCGAAUACGUUCGUUACCGUGAGGGUAACGAGGAAAGGCGCUACGGCGCCGGCCUGGAGAUGAGCUUGCGUCUGAUUAGCUAGUUGGUGAGGUAAUGGCUCACCAAGGCGAUGAUCGGUAGCCGGCCUGAGAGGGUGUACGGCCACACUGGGACUGAGAUACGGCCCAGACUCCUACGGGAGGCAGCAGCUAAGAAUAUUCCGCAAUGGACGAAAGUCUGACGGAGCGACGCCGCGUGGAUGAUGAAGGCCGAAAGGUUGUAAAGUCCUUUUGCUGGGGAAGAAUAAGCGUGGGAGGGAAUGCCCGCGUGAUGACAUGAACCGGCGAAUAAGCCCCGGCUAACUACGUGCCAGCCGCCGCGGU